ACCUUAAGAGCCGAAAUAAUUGAUAAAUUAGGUUAUACAGCUUCAUACAAGAAGGUGUGGGUAGGAAAGCAGAAGGCAAUUGAACAAGUUUUUUGAAAUUGGGAUGAAUCAUAUAAUUCUCUACCUAAAUUUCUAGCUUCACUUUAAGCAUUCAACCCCGGGACGAUAGUUGAAUGGUGUAUUUCUAGGCCUGAUAAUGAGGAGCACGUAGAAUUCAAACGUGUUUUUUGGGCUUUUUCUCCUUCUAUAAUAGGAUUUGAACAUUGUCGACCCGUCAUUAGUUAAAACACAUGUGGUGAAAGAACGAGAAGGCAUUUUUUUGAUAUCUGAUCAACAUGUUGGAAUCCUAAAGGUAGUUACUGAGCAAGGAUCUCCUUGGUUAGAACCACGUGGCUUUCAUAGCUGGUAUUGCUUACGUCAUUUCAUCCAAAACUUUCAUGAUAAGUUUCGUAACUCACAACUGAAAGCUUUAGCUUACCGUGCCGGGAGUCAGAAUCAAGUUCGCAAGUUUAACUCCACAAUGAUAGAAACUGGAAAUCUAAAUCCAGCAGCUCGUCAAUGGCUUGAGAGACAUUCAUUUGACAGAUGGACACUUUCACAUGAUGGAGCAAAGUGAUACGGCUUGCUUACUACAAAUUUAUCAGAAAUUUUUAACAGCGUCCUUAAAGGUGCUCGUUUUUUACCGAUCACAGGUUGUGUUCAACUUACAUUUUAUAAACUGGUACAAUUUUUUAAUGUGAGGCGUCCUUUGGGAUCUAAUGCUCAAGAAAAUGGAGAUCCAUAUACUCCCCACGUUGUUGCAAAACAAGUAGCCUUAAUGUCCAAAGCGGGUGCACAUACCUUGAGAUCUUUCAACCGAGAGAAAGGAAUAUUUGAAUUGAUUACUCAAAAAGGAAGAAAUGUGCAGGUGGUUAAUUUGGAAGAAAAAACUUGCACGUGUGUUGGCAAUAUAUUGAUAGAUAUUAUUCCAUUACGGAGUAUUGUUCUACUUGGGAGUCUCAAUUUUAACCAUUACCUCACGAAGAUUAUUGGCCACGCUUAUCAUCUGAUGUAAAGAUGGUUCCAAAUUCAGAUCUAAAGGAGAACAAAAAGGGUCGUCCUCGUUCAACAAGGCUACGAAAUGGAAUGGACAUUAAAGAAGGGAAAAAGGCUAACCUCUGUGGUAUUUGCAAGAAAAGUGGUCAUAAUCAAAAAACAUGUCCUUCUAGACCUAAGAGAAUGGAUACUGAUCCCUAAAAAGUUUGUUACCAAGGAGUGUGCACCGUGAUUCACGUGUAGAUACUUUUGGCGGCUUGGGCUCUGGAUUUGAUAUUUUUGGCGGCUUGGAUGCUUGGAUUCAAUGCUCUAGCUUAUCUUUUGGUACCUUCAAAAAAUGGAACUCGAGAUGGAUGUCAUGUGCUUGAUCUUAGUAACAUGUUUCAUCUAUUUUAAUUUUUUGUAAAUGUUCUAUUUACUUGAUUUUUGUUCAUGUUUACACACAUGGUAUUCCUUAGUGAUGAUAACUUUAUGUUAGUAAUUUGAAUGAAAUUAUGGAAUUUUUAUA